rnacentral:RNase_P_RNA from 1 species
GUAGCAGGACGGUCGUGUCGCUUGCCGACUAAGAGCGGCAAGAGGAAAGUCCGGGCAACACAGAGCACCAUACUCUUUAACUGAGAGCUGUCGGUGACGGCAGAGUAGCGUGACAGAGAAUGACAGCCCCGCGCCCCUGUGUGCGGAGGUGAUGGUGAAAAGGUGGGGUAAGAGCCCACCGGGUGUCGUGGCGACACGGCAUGCCGCACGUCUUAUGGGUUGC